UACUACUCUAUCCUCUCCACAUCUCCCUCUCUCCCUCUCUCUAUUCUUCUCUCUCUCAAAUCGACGGAAACUGCAGAAACUUCCAGCCUUUGUCGCUUGUUCUGGCUCGCCGCUGCCGUCGGAGUUGCUGCUCGAGUCGCCGGGAAGAGGCGACGCCGCUGCCCGUCGCUGUACCCAACGCGUCGCCUGGAGCCACCGCCGCUGCUGCUCGCGGCGUUAUUCACCGGAGUCACUGGCCGUCGCCGUCGCUCGCUGCGCUGCUGCUGCCACGGUGAAAAAGCCGCUGCUGUCGCACCGCCUUACAGGCGCCGUCGUCGCUGCUGCCGCCGGAUAGCACGGCUGCUGUCGCCGGCAUCCUGAACCACUCCGCUCAGCCCCGCACUCCACCCGAACAACCCCUAUUAACACCGAAAAGACCCGCAAGAAUUAAAUGUGGGAGGUGGAAGGUGAAGAAGUGGAACUGGAGGGUCUCCACUUGAAGGGGCGUCGACCAUGUGGGAGAGGAAGAAAAGAAGAAGAGCUUCUUGGGCUUGCUCCCAUUUGUUUGGAAAGAUUUGGGCUCCUAAUUAAUUGUAAGUCCAAGUUUGUAUAAUUAUUAAUUGGUUGGACUUGUUGAUUAUUAUGGCCCAAAGCCAUUUUAAA